CCUACGGGAGGCUGCAGUAGGGAAUAUUGCUCAAUGGGGGAAACCCUGAAGCAGCAACGCCGCGUGGAAGAUGAAGGUUUUCGGAUUGUAAACUCCUUUUGUUAGAGAAGAUAAUGACGGUAUCUAACGAAUAAGCACCGGCUAACUCCGUGCCAGCAGCCGCGGUAAUACGGAGGGUGCAAGCGUUACUCGGAAUCACUGGGCGGAAAGAGCGCGUAGGCGGGAUAGCAAGUCAGAUGUGAAAUCCUAUGGCUUAACCAUAGAACUGCAUUUGAAACUGUUAUUCUAGAGUAUGGGAGAGGUAGGUGGAAUUCUUGGUGUAGGGGUAAAAUCCGUAGAGAUCAAGAGGAAUACUCAUUGCGAAGGCGACCUGCUAGAACAUAACUGACGCUGAUGCGCGAAAGCGUGGGGAGCAAACAGGAUUAGAUACCCUUGUAGUC
rnacentral:rRNA from 1 species